rnacentral:rRNA from 1 species
UUUAACUGAAGAGUUUGAUCAUGGCUCAGAUUGAACGCUGGCGGCAGGCUUAACACAUGCAAGUCGAGCGGGGGAAGGUAGCUUGCUACUGGACCUAGCGGCGGACGGGUGAGUAAUGCUUAGGAAUCUGCCUAUUAGUGGGGGACAACAUCUCGAAAGGGAUGCUAAUACCGCAUACGUCCUACGGGAGAAAGCAGGGGAUCUUCGGACCUUGCGCUAAUAGAUGAGCCUAAGUCGGAUUAGCUAGUUGGUGGGGUAAAGGCCUACCAAGGCGACGAUCUGUAGCGGGUCUGAGAGGAUGAUCCGCCACACUGGGACUGAGACACGGCCCAGACUCCUACGGGAGGCAGCAGUGGGGAAUAUUGGACAAUGGGGGGAACCCUGAUCCAGCCAUGCCGCGUGUGUGAAGAAGGCCUUAUGGUUGUAAAGCACUUUAAGCGAGGAGGAGGCUACUUUAGUUAAUACCUAGAG